GCCGCGGGGCGCGGCCCGGUCCGGCCCUGCCGCACGGCCCCCCCGGAGCCCGGCAGCGGGCGGCCUCCCGCAAGGCGCCGUUCCAGCCGCCGGCCCGGCCCCGAGGCUCCAGCGGGGCUGCCCCUCAUCCCGACACCUCAUAACGCCGAGGUCCCGAAGCCGCCCGCCGGGAAGAAGCUUCUACAGCUAAGAAGAACUACCUGUGACAGAAACAAAAAACUGAAUAGUUGUCUGAAUUCGACUUAUCUUCCCAAGAAGAUAAACUCAUUUAAAAAAUAGUGACUCAAAGGGAUCCUGAUGAAUAAAAAGACACAAAGUGAACGCAAGGCAAUGGAUUGACUUCCACAAGCUUCAUUAGCCAGCAGUGAUUAGGAGAGGACACUCAAGAAUUCCAGACCAAUUUUGAAAACUCUUUCUUUAAAGGUUUCCAGAAAAGUUGUAUUAAGGUGGCUUUUGUUUUCCUGUAGCUCACUGUUGACUGUUCAGAAUGGAUUUCUGGAAAAGAAAAAAAAAAAAAAAUGAAACCAAGCAAGCAAACAAAACCCCGGCCUUUUUAUUAUUGAUCACUUUAAGGUAUAUUUGGUUCAGUAUAUUGGACGGUACUACCAGAAUCUGUAUAUUGGGUCAUCCUACUGGGAUAAUUCUGAUUUGUCAUUCAUUGUGAAGAGGAUGACAUCUCCAUACCUUUUCUGGGGCAGCUGAAAAAGAAGCUAAAAACUUCUGGUGUGCCAGGUUCUUUCUAGAUUACUAAGCAGGAAAAACAAUGAUGAAGGAGGAACUUUUUCCUAAGCAAAACUCCACUGCAGACCCCAGCAGCCAAGGAAACCUUCUGGACCCUGGAACAGAUAAUUUUCUGACUCCCUUCAACCUCAGGUUAUUUCCUGUUCUCCAGCUGUGAUGAUUUCACUCAAUCAUAGUCACUCAGACGCUAUUGCCUACUACAUAUGGGAGAAGCAACAUUUGUCCAGCAGUUCAGAACUGCUUUAGAAAAAAGAAGAGUUGUACUUCUCAGAAGAAUAGAAGACACUGUGGAACAAAAGCAGAAGGCAAGUGUUGUUUUCCUGAUUACACAGAGGAGGUUCUGAGGCCUGGACAGACUUGGUCCAGGCCACAGAGGAAAAUCAGUAGAUCUGAAAAAGAACUAAGCAGAAAGGAGCACUUAUUUUGGCCCACACAUGUAUGUAAUGGUGCGACGGUGACAAAUGGAGUGUGAGCACCACGGUGUCUACAACUUGGGUUUGAAAUAAUAAUCUUAGCAAGAUGUGAACAUGACCACACACAUCAAAAGGAUGUUCCAAGAUGCUGCUUGCCUCUUUCUGUGCAUCCACUUCCCAGCAUGCUAAGCAUAAAAUUCCUUGGAAAGGAAAAUCCUGAAAAGAACAAUGUUGGGGGAGGAUGUAUGUUGGAGGAGUAUACCAGACAUCUGAU